rnacentral:rRNA from 1 species
GAAACGGUGGUUAUACCGGAUGUGCCCAAGGGUGAAAGACUUGUCGCCCGAAGAGGAGCUCGCGUCCGAUUAGCUAGUUGGUGGGGUAAGAGCUCACCAAGGCAGCGAUCGGUAGCUGGUCUGAGAGGACAACCAGCCACACUGGGACUGAGACACGGCCCAGACUCCUACGGGAGGCAGCAGUGGGGAAUUUUCCGCAAUGGGCGCAUAGCCUGACGGAGCAAUACCGCGUGAGGGAAGAAGGCUCUUGGGUCGUAAACCUCUUUUGUCAGGGAAGAAGAAAGUGACGGUACCUGACGAAUCAGCCUCGGCUAACUCCGUGCCAGCAGCCGCGGUAAUACGGAGGAGGCAAGCGUUAUCCGGAAUUAUUGGGCGUAAAGCGUCCGCAGGUGGCUAGUCAAGUCGGCGGU